rnacentral:rRNA from 1 species
CCUACGAGUGGCAGCAGUGGGGAAUAUUGGUCAAUGGGCGCAAGCCUGACCCAGCAACGCCGCGUGAAGGAAGACGGCUUUCGGGUUUUAAACUUCUUUUCUCAGGGACGAAGAAUGUGACGGUACCUGAGGAAUAAGCCACGUCUAACUACGUGCCAGCAGCCGCGGUAAUACGUAGGUGGCAAGCGUUAUCCGGAUUUAUUGGGUGUAAAGGGCGUGUAGGCGGGAGCGCAAGUCAGAUGUGAAAACUCAGGGCUCAACCCUGAGACUGCAUUUGAUACUGUGUUUCUUGAGUGCUGGAGAGGCAAUCGGAAUUCGGGGUGUAGCGGUGAAAUGCGUAGAUAGACGGAGGAACACCAGUUGCGAAGGCGGAUUGCUGGACAGUAACUGACGCUGAGGCGCGAAAGCGUGGGGAGCAAACAGGAUUAGAUACCCUUGUAGUC